GAUAGAUAUUAAUUUAAAAUAUUUAAUCUAAGAAUAUAAGGGUAGAGCUUUAUCAUUCAAUAAUAAAUGAAAUAUAAGUUAAUAAGUAUUUAUUUUGAUAAUUAGGUUUUUUAGUGGCCAUAUUUUUAAAGUGUUUUAACUAAUAUAAUUGAAUAAUUUAUUUAUUAGAUUUUAUUAAAUUAAUAAUAUGUUUUUUAAAAUGGAUAAAUAUUAGAAAUAAUGAAAAUAUUAGUAGAAUUAAUAUAUGAGAAAAAAGAAAAGUAUUAAAAGUAAAAUAUGAAAAUAGUUAAGAAAAAAAUAGAGGAACUCGGCAAAUAAGGUUCUUGCCUGUUUAACAAAAACAUGUCUCUAUGAAGUUAUAUGAAGUCUGACCUGCCCAUUGAAAUUUAUUAAAAGGCCGCGGUAUAUUAACUGUGCAAAGGUAGCAUAAUUAGUAGUUUUUUAAUUGAAGGCUUGUAUGAAAGGUUGGACAAGGGAUAAGCUGUCUUUAUUUUUAUUUUUGAAUUUGUCUUUUAAGUGAAAAGACUUAAAUAAGUUUAAGGGACGAUAAGACCCUAUAAAUCUUUAUAUUAGUUUAAUUUUAUUUUAAAUUUUAAUGUUUAAAAGAGUAAAGUUAUAUAGUAUUGUAUUGGGGUGAUAGGAAUAAUUAGUAAACUGUUCGAAGGUAUAAACAAAAAUAUUUGAUUAUAAUUAUUAGUAGAUCCUUAGUGGAGAUUACAAGUUUAAGUUACUUUAGGGAUAACAGCGUUAUUUUUUUUGAGAGUUCUAAUCGAAAAAGAAGUUUGCGACCUCGAUGUUGAAUUAAAAUUUCUUUGUGGUGUAGUAGUUACAAGAGAGAGUCUGUUCGACUUUUAAAAUUUU
rnacentral:rRNA from 1 species